rnacentral:rRNA from 1 species
AUUGAACGCUGGCGGCAUGCUUUACACAUGCAAGUCGAACGGCAGCACGGGGCAACCUGGUGGCGAGUGGCGAACGGGUGAGUAAUAUAUCGGAACAUGUCCGGAAGUGGGGGAUAACGUAGCGAAAGUUACGCUAAUACCGCAUAUGCCCUGAGGGGGAAAGGAGGGGAUCGCAAGACCUUUCGCUUUCGGAGUGGCCGAUAUCAGAUUAGCUAGUUGGUGGGGUAAAGGCCUACCAAGGCAACGAUCUGUAGCUGGUCUGAGAGGACGACCAGCCACACUGGGACUGAGACACGGCCCAGACUCCUACGGGAGGCUG